CUCACAAGAGCCUCUGAAGUGGAUUUUAUUGCCUGCGCUUUGCUGGCGAUGGCUGACUCGGAGAGCUGAUCUGCCGACAAAAAAAAACUUAACUGCUUCAACAUUGCUGUCAUUCCACUUCAGGCCCG